AGCGAACCGACGGGAGCUUGCUCCCUUAGGUUAGCGGCGGACGGGUGAGUAACACGUGGGUAACCUGCCUGUAAGACUGGGAUAACUCCGGGAAACCGGGGCUAAUACCGGAUGCUUGAUUGAACCGCAUGGUUCAAUUAUAAAAGGUGGCUUUUAGCUACCACUUACAGAUGGACCCGCGGCGCAUUAGCUAGUUGGUGAGGUAACGGCUCACCAAGGCGACGAUGCGUAGCCGACCUGAGAGGGUGAUCGGCCACACUGGGACUGAGACACGGCCCAGACUCCUACGGGAGGCAGCAGUAGGGAAUCUUCCGCAAUGGACGAAAGUCUGACGGAGCAACGCCGCGUGAGUGAUGAAGGUUUUCGGAUCGUAAAACUCUGUUGUUAGGGAAGAACAAGUACCGUUCGAACAGGGCGGUGCCUUGACGGUACCUAACCAGAAAGCCACGGCUAACUACGUGCCAGCAGCCGCGGUAAUACGUAGGUGGCAAGCGUUGUCCGGAAUUAUUGGGCGUAAAGCGCGCGCAGGCGGUUUCUUAAGUCUGAUGUGAAAGCCCCCGGCUCAACCGGGGAGGGUCAUUGGAAACUGGGGAACUUGAGUGCAGAAGAGGAGAGUGGAAUUCCACGUGUAGCGGUGAAAUGCGUAGAGAUGUGGAGGAACACCAGUGGCGAAGGCGACUCUCUGGUCUGUAACUGACGCUGAGGCGCGAAAGCGUGGGGAGCGAACAGGAUUAGAUACCCUGGUAGUCCAC
rnacentral:rRNA from 1 species